rnacentral:tRNA from 1 species
GGCUCCCUAGUGUAGUGGUUAGCACGUCUGCUUUACAUGCAGAAGGUCCUGCGUUCCCAUCCCAGGUGGAGCCA